rnacentral:rRNA from 1 species
GAUGAACGCUGGCGGCGUGCCUAAUACAUGCAAGUCGAGCGAACAGACGAGGAGCUUGCUCCUCUGACGUUAGCGGCGGACGGGUGAGUAACACGUGGAUAACCUACCUAUAAGACUGGGAUAACUUCGGGAAACCGGAGCUAAUACCGGAUAAUAUAUUGAACCGCAUGGUUCAAUAGUGAAAGACGGUUUUGCUGUCACUUAUAGAUGGAUCCGCGCCGCAUUAGCUAGUUGGUAAGGUAACGGCUUACCAAGGCAACGAUGCGUAGCCGACCUGAGAGGGGGAGCGGCCACACUGGAACUGAGACACGGUCCAGACUCCUACGGGAGGCAGCAGUAGGGAAUCUUCCGCAAUGGGCGAAAGCCGGACGGAGCAACGCCGCGGGAGUGAUGAAGGUCUUCGGAUCGUAAAACUCUGUUAUUAGGGAAGAACAAAUGUGUAAGUAACUAUGCACGUCUUGACGGUACCUAAUCAGAAAGCCACGGCUAACUAAGUG